rnacentral:tRNA from 1 species
CGGGGCGUAGCGCAGCCUGGUAGCGCACUUGCAUGGGGUGCAAGGGGUCGUGAGUUCGAAUCCCACCGCCCCGA